AGGACGAACGCUGGCGGCGUGCCUAACACAUGCAAGUGGAGCGACGAACCAGGCUUCGGCCUGGGGCAAAGCCGCGAACGGGUGAGUAACACGUGGGUAACCUGCCCCGAUGAUUGGGACAACCCGAGGAAACUCGGGCUAAUACCAAAUGUGACCUCCGACCGUAAGGUUGAUGGGGAAAGGAAGCUUCGGCCUCCGCAUUGGGAUGGGCCCGCGGCCCAUUAGCUUGUUGGUGAGGUAACGGCUCACCAAGGCGACGAUGGGUAGCUGGUCUGAGAGGACGAUCAGCCACACUGGGACUGAGACACGGCCCAGACUCCUACGGGAGGCAGCAGUUAGGAAUUUUCCGCAAUGGGCGAAAGCCUGACGGAGCAACGCCGCGUGAGUGAUGAGACCUUCGGGUUGUAAAGCUCUGUCGGAGGGGAGAACACAAUGACGGUACCCUCCAAGAACGCCCGGCUAACUACGUGCCAGCAGCCGCGGU
rnacentral:rRNA from 1 species